rnacentral:rRNA from 1 species
GACGAACGCUGGCGGCGUGCUUAACACAUGCAAGUCGAACGGAAAGGCCCUGCUUUUGUGGGGUGCUCGAGUGGCGAACGGGUGAGUAACACGUGAGUAACCUGCCCUUGACUUUGGGAUAACUUCAGGAAACUGGGGCUAAUACCGGAUAGGAGCUCCUGCUGCAUGGUGGGGGUUGGAAAGUUUCGGCGGUUGGGGAUGGACUCGCGGCUUAUCAGCUUGUUGGUGGGGUAGUGGCUUACCAAGGCUUUGACGGGUAGCCGGCCUGAGAGGGUGACCGGCCACAUUGGGACUGAGAGACGGACCAGACUCGUACGGGAGGCAGCAGUGGGGAAUAUUGCACAAUGGGCGGAAGCCUGAUGCAGCAACGCCGCGUGCGGGAUGACGGCCUUCGGGUUGUAAACCGCUUUCGACUGUGACGAAGAGUGAGUGACGGUAAUGGGUAAAGAAGCACCGGCUAACUACGUG